rnacentral:rRNA from 1 species
UACGUAGGGGGCUAGCGUUGUCCGGAUUUAUUGGGCGUAAAGAGCGUGUAGGCGGCCAGGUAGGUCUGCUGUGAAAACUCGAGGCUCAACCUCGAGACGUCGGCGGAAAACCAUCUGGCUAGAGUCCGGAAGAGGAGAGUGGAAUUCCUGGUGUAGCGGUGAAAUGCGCAGAUAUCAGGAAGAACACCCGUGGCGAAGGCGGCUCUCUGGGACGGUACUGACGCUGAGACGCGAAAGCUAGGGGGAGCGAACAGG